rnacentral:rRNA from 1 species
AGAGUGAACGCUGGCGGCAGGCCUAAUACAUGCAAGUCGAACGGCAGCACGGCAGAGCUUGCUCUGUGGGUGGCGAGUGGCGGACGGGUGAGGAAUACAUGGGAAUCUGCCCAGUCGUGGGGGAUAACGUAGGGAAACUUACGCUAAUACCGCAUGCGCCCUUCGGGGGAAAGCCGGGGACCUUCGGGCCUGGCGCGAUUGGAUGAGCCCAUGUCGGAUUAGCUAGUUGGCGGGUAACGCCCACAGGCGACGAUCCGUAGCUGGUCUGGAGAGGAUGAUCAGCCACACUGGAACUGAGACACGGUCAGACUCCGAGGGAGCAGCAGUAGGAAUAGUGGACAAGUGGGCACGAACGCCGUGAUG